rnacentral:misc_RNA from 1 species
GAUGAAGAACGUAGCGAAAUGCGAUAAGUAGUGUGAAUUGCAGAAUUCAGUGAAUCAUCGAAUCUUUGAACGCACAUUGCGCCCCUUGGUAUUCCAUGGGGCAUGCCUGUUCGAGCGUCAUUUGUACCUUCAAGCUCUGCUUGGUGUUGGGUGUUUGUCCCGCCUCUGCGUGUAGACUCGCCUUAAAACAAUUGGCAGCCGGCGUAUUGAUUUCGGAGCGCAGUACAUCUCGCGCUUUGCACUCAUAACGACGACGUCCAAAAGUACAUUUUUACACUCUUGACCUCGGAUCAGGUAGGGAUACCCGCUGAACUUAAGCAUAUCAAUAAGCGGAGGA